AUGCCGUGAUAAGGGCCCUUUUGUAAUAACUCGAACCGCUCCCAUGCCUCAUAUAAAGAUUCUUCAUAAAGUUGCUGAAAUGAAGUGAUCUCAUUUCGAAUCUU
rfam:Gossypium arboreum cultivar AKA8401 contig_52268_1, whole genome shotgun sequence.